rnacentral:rRNA from 1 species
AUGGCACCAUUACAAAGAAGAGGCGGGGCUCAAAGGCGGCGGUGCGCUGUUGAAAGGUGCUCGCAGCAACAACCGAGUGUGCGGAGGAGCAAAUGUGAGAAAAAACUUCGACCCACGUGUGAAAAAUUUGCCACCAAAAUUGUCGAGGUAAAUCUUUCACCAGAAAUCCUCACAAGAACACCUCGCAUCCUUGAAAUGAUGAAACCUGUACAAAUCUCGCACGACGAUCUCCCUAUCUGUGGCUCGGCUUACAUACUUGAUUGCUUCAUGGCAGUCCACACAAAUACGCAGGUUCUUGAAGAUUCGAAGUGGAGUCCCACUGGGAGUGCUGAUGAUCCCAAACGCCAUUGCAAGCUUCUCACUGUGGAACCUCAGAGCUGUCUCCCUUUGUUCCUCCUCCACAUCAUGAGCAACAAGAUCAAAUCUACUGGUGUACCCCAGCUCCUUUAG